ensembl:snoRNA small nucleolar RNA, C/D box 12
GCCAUUGCAGCUGAUGACUUAACUUUUUUCCCCAUCAGAUCGACCCUGUUGAUCCAACUGAACUAUUAGCCAGUUUUGUCUGAUGCAUUGGC